rnacentral:lncRNA from 1 species
UUUUCUAAAAAAAAUAGUUUCCUUUGUUACAAAACCAUUACCAAACCUUCAACCUUCAUACCAUUCCCAAAUAAAUCAUUCUCAAAAUCACAUUUUAACAUCACCAAUGGAUCAAACAAACUUAAAUUGACACAACUACAGUUUUUCCUCAUGAUUCCAUCACCCAAAAUUAUACCCUAAAAAACCAAUUUUUCAUCAAAACUCAAGAACACACCAAUGUAAC